rnacentral:rRNA from 1 species
GGGGCUAAACCAUGCACCGAAGCUGCGGCAGCGACGCUCAGGCGUUGUUGGGUAGGGGAGCGUUCUGUAAGCCUGUGAAGGUGGCCUGUGAGGGUUGCUGGAGGUAUCAGAAGUGCGAAUGCUGACAUAAGUAACGAUAAAGCGGGUGAAAAGCCCGCUCGCCGGAAGACCAAGGGUUCCUGUCCAACGUUAAUCGGGGCAGGGUGAGUCGACCCCUAAGGCGAGGCCGAAAGGCGUAGUCGAUGGGAAACGGGUUAAUAUUCCCGUACUUGGUGUUACUGCGAAGGGGGGACGGAGAAGGCUAUGUUGGCCGGGCGACGGUUGUCCCGGUUUAAGCGUGUAGGUGUGUGUUCCAGGUAAAUCCGGUUCACUUUAACACUGAGGCGUGACGACGAGGCACUACGGUGCUGAAGCAACAAAUGCCCUGCUUCCAGGAAAAGCCUCUAAGCAUCAGGUAACAUCAAAUCGUACCCCAAACCGACACAGGUGGUCAGGUAGAGAAUACCAAGGCGCUUGAGAGAACUCGGGUGAAGGAACUAGGCAAAAUGGUGCCGUAACUUCGGGAGAAGGCACGCUGACACGUAGGUGAAGUGAUUUACUCAUGGAGCUGAAGUCAGUCGAAGAUACCAGCUGGCUGCAACUGUUUAUUAAAAACACAGCACUGUGCAAACACGAAAGUGGACGUAUACGGUGUGACGCCUGCCCGGUGCCGGAAGGUUAAUUGAUGGGGUCAGCGCAAGCGAAGCUCCUGAUCGAAGCCCCGGUAAACGGCGGCCGUAACUAUAACGGUCCUAAGGUAGCGAAAUUCCUUGUCGGGUAAGUUCCGACCUGCACGAAUGGCGUAAUGAUGGCCAGGCUGUCUCCACCCGAGACUCAGUGAAAUUGAACUCGCUGUGAAGAUGCAGUGUACCCGCGGCAAGACGGAAAGACCCCGUGAACCUUUACUAUAGCUUGACACUGAACAUUGAGCCUUGAUGUGUAGGAUAGGUGGGAGGCUUUGAAGCGUGGACGCCAGUCUGCGUGGAGCCGACCUUGAAAUACCACCCUUUAAUGUUUGAUGUUCUAACGUGGACCCGUUACCCGGGUUGCGGACAGUGUCUGGUGGGUAGUUUGACUGGGGCGGUCUCCUCCUAAAGAGUAACGGAGGAGCACGAAGGUUGGCUAAUCCUGGUCGGACAUCAGGAGGUUAGUGCAAUGGCAUAAGCCAGCUUGACUGCGAGCGUGACGGCGCGAGCAGGUGCGAAAGCAGGUCAUAGUGAUCCGGUGGUUCUGAAUGGAAGGGCCAUCGCUCAACGGAUAAAAGGUACUCCGGGGAUAACAGGCUGAUACCGCCCAAGAGUUCAUAUCGACGGCGGUGUUUGGCACCUCGAUGUCGGCUCAUCACAUCCUGGGGCUGAAGUAGGUCCCAAGGGUAUGGCUGUUCGCCAUUUAAAGUGGUACGCGAGCUGGGUUUAGAACGUCGUGAGACAGUUCGGUCCCUAUCUGCCGUGGGCGCUGGAGAACUGAGGGGGGCUGCUCCUAGUACGAGAGGACCGGAGUGGACGCAUCACUGGUGUUCGGGUUGUCAUGCCAAUGGCACUGCCCGGUAGCUAAAUGCGGAAGAGAUAAGUGCUGAAAGCAUCUAAGCACGAAACUUGCCCCGA